CAUACAUACAUACACACAUACACACACUUCCAAACCUAGGUGGUCAAAAAAUUUAAAUACAAAUUGUACUAUUUUUAAACCCAAUACCAGUAACAAACUAUUAUCUCCAUAUGGGACCAUGAUUAUCAAUACAUUAUGUAAGCAGCAAAUACAAUACAUUCAAUAUAUUCUGCACUUCAAUCCCAGAAACUGGUAGACAUGCAUAUAAACAAACAACAUUCUAAUCUGGUUUCGCACAUAAGAAUCUCUCUAAGCUAGUCAAAACACCACAUCCGAAUGGAAAGCCAUUAUGUAGAAUCAUAAAAUAGUUCCCAAGAGCUACACAUUUUUAAAUAAAACAAGGAAAGGAGGCAAUUUAAUCUCUGGACCUCAGGCUUUAGGUUGUAAUUGUUGUUAAUUCAGAAGUGUAAGAGCCCAGAAAUAAAAAAAAGUUGACAUUCAAACAAUAGUAGGAUGACAUGAUAGGUCUGAUCUACAACAUUGACAGCAGAAAUAACUGUACUAAAUAAUUAAUUGUGUAAACGAAAAUGCAAUUCAAAAAAAUAACCCGGGUAUAGGCAUUUCUACCAAAAGACUUUUCCAGAAUUCAGGUCAUAUUAGGAACACUGUAACAGAAGGUUAAAAAUAAAUACAAUUUAAAAAAAAUAUAAAUAAAAGAAAAAAUUUAUUAACAAAAUGAUGCAAGUGUGGGUGUCAAACUACCAAAUAUAAGAGGACCAAUUUUAUUCUACUCAAACUGAAACUUGCAUUAUUAACUGGUAAUCUGGUAACAUAUGCCUCAAGUAAAUACACAUUUCAGUUUCAAUCCUCCAAAAAUAAGGAUUCAUAUCCACAAAAAUCUAACUUUUGUUAGGUCCUGAAAGUAGGUACUAGUUCAUGCUAAAGGUGAAGCUGUAAUCUGAAAAUUAAUUGAAAAACACUCGCACUGCCAAAAUGUCAGACAUUACUAGCAAAAUAGUUAUGAUGCUAGGAGCAGGGAUCUGACAUCACUAAAUAGUGCGCAAGGAAGCAGAGCUCGAAGAUUAUAGGAAGCUAGCAGCUCCACUGGGGCCACAGGGAGAGUAUCCACUCCAGCUCUCCCAAAAAGGUAAGGAGGUUGGGUGGACGUAAAUUAAAAUAAACACAUUUUCAAGGAGUAUGAGAGUGAGUGAGUGUGUGUGUGUGUGUGUGGAGGGGGGGGUUAUUGGUACACUAAAAACACAAGGCAUGUUUAUGUUCACAACUGACUUGACAAAGGCUUGUUGUAGGGCCAAAGAAUCGUCUUUCGGUCUGCACUUCAAAUAAAGUCUGCCUUCAUAAGAAACCUCCAGGUGUGCCCAGAAAUUGUUGUUUCCUAUAGUAAGUGUGUAUGUCUAAG